rnacentral:rRNA from 1 species
UACGUGGGGGGGCGAGCGUUGUCCGGAUUUAUUGGGCGUAAAGAGCUCGUAGGCGGUUUGGCAAGUCGGGUGUGAAAACUCCGGGCUCAAGUCGGAGACGCCACUCGAUACUGCCAUGACUCGAGUCCGGUAGGGGAGUGCGGAAUUCCUGGUGUAGCGGUGAAAUGCGCAGAUAUCAGGAGGAACACCGGUGGCGAAGGCGGCACUCUGGGCCGGUACUGACGCUGAGGAGCGAAAGCGUGGGGAGCGAACAGGA